GUAAACUGUAACUGGCCUAAACUGAUCGAUGCAAUUCAAUUUCUUUUCAGUAAUUGUUUUAGACAGAGAGGCUGAAACUCCUACAUAUAUCAGGGGAUCGUGAGGGUGAAGCUUGAGGAAAACACUGAAAACAUUGUAAGAACUUGUUUGUCAUGAGAUGCUGAAUUACACAAUCCUGGAACUGUCAAAAUGUAAAACUUUUUGUAAAUGAGGACGUUUGUCCCUGAGCCACAGCCACUGUGAUAUGAGAAAACCAAGCAGCCACAUGGAAAGACCACAUGCCCAAACUGAG